AUUGAACGCUGGCGGCAUGCUUUACACAUGCAAGUCGAACGGCAGCACGGAAGAGCUUGCUCUUUUGGUGGCGAGUGGCGAACGGGUGAGUAACACAUCGGAACGUACCGAGUAGUGGGGGAUAACUGUCCGAAAGGAUGGCUAAUACCGCAUAUUCUCUGAGGAGGAAAGCAGGGGACCUUCGGGCCUUGCGCUAUUUGAGCGGCCGAUGUCUGAUUAGCUAGUUGGUGGGGUAAAGGCCUACCAAGGCGACGAUCAGUAGCGGGUCUGAGAGGAUGAUCCGCCACACUGGGACUGAGACACGGCCCAGACUCCUACGGGAGGCAGCAGUGGGGAAUUUUGGACAAUGGGGGGAACCCUGAUCCAGCCAUGCCGCGUGUCUGAAGAAGGCCUUCGGGUUGUAAAGGACUUUUGUCAGGGAAGAAAAGGUUGUGGUUAAUACCCAUGACUGAUGACGGUACCUGAAGAAUAAGCACCGGCUAACUAC
rnacentral:rRNA from 1 species